UGCGUAGGCGGUUCGUUAAGUCAGUGGUGAAAGCCUACGGCUCAACCGUAGAAUUGCCAUUGAUACUGAUGAACUUGAGUACAGUCGAGGUAGGCGGAAUUUAUGGUGUAGCGGUGAAAUGCAUAGAUACCAUAAAGAACACCGAUUGCGAAGGCAGCUUACUAGACUGUAACUGACGCUGAGGCACGAAAGCGUGGGGAGCGAACAGGAUUAGAUACCCUGGUAGUCC
rnacentral:rRNA from 1 species